GUCCUUUGUGAUAUGCACUUCAUCUUUCCUGUGCUUUCAGAACUCUGGGGGCCAGGAAUCAUAAUUAUAAUUGUGCACUUGGGAGUUAGAGAAUCUUACAGCUCUUAAAGUAUCUACCUCUUUCCAUCUUGACUCAAACUUGUGACAAUUUCUCUUCUACAAAGCUUCCUCCUGUUCCACCUGGAAGAUGCUUGACACAGUCUCCGGGAGCUCCUCAUAAAUGCUCGGCUGGAGAAAAAGGAAAGAACAAAAGGUUCAUCUCAUCAGUCCUCCACGGCCUUCAGUUCUACAGCGUAUUCCAUCCAGUGACAGAAUGGUCUUCUUUCCCCACAGCACACAGAAAUGGAAUGGGAGACCAGCAGGAGGGGCCGGGAAGACAGGAAGAUCACAAGAACUAAAAGUAUAUAUAAAAACGCCAUGAGGGGGUCCAUGGCUUCAUACGCUAAUUCUCAAAAUAACUCAUAGGUAAGGGGAAAGCAAGCCUGCUCCCCUGAAACUUUUUCUAGCAGCAGCUCUGAUGUAGUCUGUGACCUGAUCCUCUGCCAAUGCUCAAUCCAAUCGGCUAAUAAAUGGACUCUAAGAGACAGUUGUGAAGUGACGGUUCCCUACAACUCUCCGAGACAAUUCUGCCUGUGCCUGGACUGCUCACGAUGGGCACAUGGUCACGUGGUACAGCUACAGGAGCUACCGUGGAAUAAGAACAAUAGAAAAGAGGGUCUUCUAGCUCUCAGGUUUCAAGGGAACCUGGCAGAACGGAAGGAAAGGGAGAAGAAAAAUCACUACUGAUUUCAGAUGGGAGAGUGAUGAGUUUGGGUCAUCCUUUUGCACUUCCUCGCCUCUCUGAACUGAAUUUCUUGGCCAGAGUAAACUCGCAGGGAAGUAUUACAUGCAAGGUGCUAUUGGGAUGAGCACCAGUGUUUCUACCCAGCGCUCAGGGUAAGUCCAAAUAGAGAAACAACAGGGAGAUGUAUUCAUUAAGAAUGGAAAACAGAAAUGACCUAGGACCUGACCUAGGACCAUUUCCCAUGGAGAAUCUAAAAGCUGCAAGCUUCCGGGGAAGAAAUGGACAAGUGUGUAGCAUGCCAAGGCACUGGAGCAGCGUGUGAUUCUCAGAGCACUUACAAGGCCCGGCUGGCACAGCCUGAGAAUGACAAAUCACUUCUAUGUGCCCCACAGGUAGAUACAGAUUAGAAUGUUUUGGACAAAGAUAGAUGCCUCAGCAGAAGUGCUCAGUAUGGCCUAUGACACAGGGAAAAUGUACCCCAAUAUCUAGUCAACAUACCUACUUGGGAGUAUACUUAAUAUGAACACAGACUAUUUUAUAAAUUAACUGCACCUAAUAAUAAUAAUAACAAUAAUAAUAAUAAGCAAAAACAAAAAAUCAGUCUUCCAUCACAUCGGCAUAGUUUUCACAUGUCCUGUGUGAUAGUUUGUAUAUGCUUGGCCCAGAGAGUGGCACUAUUAGAAGGUGUGACCCUGUUAGAGUUUGUGUGUCACUGUGGGUGUGGCUUUAAGACCCUUAUCCUAGCUGCCUGGAAGCCAGUGUUCUGCCAGCAGUCUUCAGAUGAAGAUGUAGAACUCUCAGCUCCUCUUGUACCAUGCUUCUCUGGAUGUCGCCAUGUUCCUGACUUGAUGAUACUGGACUGAACCUCUGAACCUGUAAGCCAGCCCCAGUUAAAUGUUGUUCUUAUAAGAGUUGCUUUAGGUCACUGUGUCUGUUCAAAGCAGAAAAAAACCCUAAUUAAGGCAUCCUGGAGGACAUGACAGUAAAAUAUAAUAGUUUAUGAAUAUAUAAGGCCAGAAUCUAAUACCAUUUUAUAUAUAUAUAUAUAUAUAUAAACACAAAAGAUUUCCCCAUUUAACCACUGUAUUAUUAUCCAGGGAUGGCACUACUAUGCCAGUUGUAGCCUCUCUGUUUUAUUAUUAUCAUUGUUAUUAUUAUUUAUACAAGUACAUUGUAGCUGUCUUCAGACACACACUAGAAGAGUGCAUCAGAUCCCAUUACAGAUGGUCGUGAGCCACCAUGUGGCUGCUGGGAAUUGAAUGCAAGACCUUUCAGAAGAGCAGUCAGUGCUCUUAACCACUGAGCCAUCUCUCCAGGCCUGUAGCCUCUCUGUUAACAGCACUUUUAUCACCAAGCUCAUCUGUCUCUCUCUCUGCAAUUACACAAAUGUACACACUGAAUAAAGAAGCCCAUUCUGUAAAUGGAGCACCAGGCAUACUGGGAUUAGCAGCCAAAUGAAACAGAUGAAUGGAUUUUUGUUAAUAAGGAAGAGGUGUUAUUAUUGUUAGUUGAUGCGAUUUUCAACAAAAUGUUAAUAAUUUUUUCAACAACUACACACUGAAGCUAUUCACUUCAUUUUGAAUAGCCUGCUCUUCCUUCUAAAACUGCCCAUGAAGGUAUAUUUCUCCAUGUCUUCUUGUAUUGCCUUUUUUUUCCAAUCCUUCCUGUACUGUUAUUGUCUAGUAAUAAGUUAUUUUUCUUUCCAGAAACUGAUUGUGUCCUGAUGUGUUAAGAUUCUAACCUAUGAGACUUGUUUGUAUUUUAAGGCACUUUGUCACCCUGUCCCAUGUCAAUAUUGCUUUGAUGUUCCAUUUAAGCAGAGUAUCAUUUGUUCCAUUUCAAGAGUCCUUAACUGGUCUUAGCAUAUGUGGCUGUUUCUCCUGCUGCACACACAUUAGUCUGACGCUGGUAUCCUGUUGUAUGUUCUGCUGCUGACUGCAUUGCCUGCUUUGUUCUUUCAUUCUCUGGUCCUUCUGGCACACUACGGUUCCUUACAUUCAUGAUUCAGAAUGUAUCAAUAGAUAAAAGCUUGUGACAACUGCAUUAUGGAAUUUCAUUACAAAUCAUGAUCGUUUUCCCGGUAUGUUACAAAUAAGUCAUAUUAAUCUUGACAUCACUAUACAGACAAAAAAAUAUAACUAUGAAUUUUAUUUCAUGACAGUAAAUAGGAUAAAAUAUAUCAAAUAAGAAGAAAAGGCUAGACUAGCUACCUCGGAGAUGUCAUCUCACCAUGCAAAGUCCUCCAUUCCUUAAAUACCACAGGACAGUUCUGCCUUGGGACUCUGCAGUUGCCCUUGCUGCACCUGGAACAAUCCUCAUCUACUCAUGAACCACAGGCUGGCCUCCAUGUUUCCUUCAGACAGGCCCCGGAGACUCAGUCUGUGGCUUCCUGCUAGCAAGAAUGCAGAUGUGAUAGAUUACCUGUGGUAGCCAUACUGGACCUCAAGAUGACCGUGGGAACGAGGAUCACGGGAGGCGGGGCUCUGAGCUGACAGGAAUCUAGACCUUGGCCUGCCAGAUGCCAUAUCUCUCCUGCACUACCUUUAUAAGACAUUUUUUUUUUGAACGAGGAAGAAAUAAACUUUGAUGUAGUCUAAGCCACUGUU
ensembl:antisense 4921518K17Rik RIKEN cDNA 4921518K17 gene